rnacentral:misc_RNA from 1 species
GAUGAAGAACGUAGCGAAAUGCGAUAGUAGUGUGAAUUGCAGAAUUCAGUGAAUCAUCGAAUCUUUGAACGCACAUUGCGCCCUUUGGUAUUCCAAAGGGCAUGCCUGUUCGAGCGUCAUUUGUACCCUCAAGCUUUGCUUGGUGUUGGGCGUCUUGUCUCUAGCUUUGCUGGAGACUCGCCUUAAAGUAAUUGGCAGCCGGCCUACUGGUUUCGGAGCGCAGCACAAGUCGCACUCUCUAUCAGCAAAGGUCUAGCAUCCAUUAAGCCUUUUUUUCAACUUUUGACCUCGGAUCAGGUAGGGAUACCCGCUGAACUUAAGCAUAUCAAUAAGCGGAGGA